UACGGGGGGAGCAAGCGUUGUUCGGAUUUACUGGGCGUAAAGGGCGCGUAGGCGGCCAGCACAAGUCAGUUGUGAAAUCUCCGGGCUUAACUCGGAAAGGUCAACUGAUACUGUGCGGCUGGAGUGCGGAAGGGGCAACUGGAAUUCUCGGUGUAGCGGUGAAAUGCGUAGAUAUCGAGAGGAACACCUGCGGCGAAGGCGGGUUGCUGGGCCGACACUGACGCUGAUGCGCGAAAGCCAGGGGAGCGAACGGG
rnacentral:rRNA from 1 species